rnacentral:rRNA from 1 species
GAUUGAACGCUGGCGGCAUGCCUUACACAUGCAAGUCGAACGGCAGCACGGGUGCUUGCACCUGGUGGCGAGUGGCGAACGGGUGAGUAAUAUAUCGGAACGUACCUUAUUGUGGGGGAUAACGCAGCGAAAGCUGUGCUAAUACCGCAUAAUCCCUAAGGGGGAAAGCGGGGGACCGUAAGGCCUCGCGCAAUUAGAGCGGCCGAUACCUGAUUAGCUAGUUGGUGAGGUAAAGGCUCACCAAGGCAACGAUCAGUAGCUGGUCUGAGAGGACGAUCAGCCACACUGGGACUGAGACACGGCCCAGACUCCUACGGGAGGCAGCAGUGGGGAAUUUUGGACAAUGGGGGCAACCCUGAUCCAGCAAUGCCGCGUGAGUGAAGAAGGCCUUCGGGUUGUAAAGCUCUUUUGUCAGGGAAGAAACAGCAGCUCUAACACAGUCUGCGAAUGACGGUACCUGAAGAAUAAGCACCGGCUAACUACGUGCCAGCAGCCGCGGUAAUACGUAGGGUGCAAGCGUUAAUCGGAAUUACUGGGCGUAAAGCGUGCGCAGGCGGUUAUGUAAGACAGGCGUGAAAUCCCCGGGCUUAACCUGGGAAUUGCGCUUGUGACUGCAUAGCUAGAGUAUGUCAGAGGGGGGUAGAAUUCCACGU